AUUAGUGGCGAACGGGUGAGUAACACGUGAGUAACCUGCCCUUGACUCUGGGAUAAGCGUUGGAAACGACGUCUAAUACCGGAUACGAGCUUCAGCCGCAUGGCUAGGAGCUGGAAAGAAUUUCGGUCAAGGAUGGACUCGCGGCCUAUCAGCUUGUUGGUGAGGUAAUGGCUCACCAAGGCGACGACGGGUAGCCGGCCUGAGAGGGUGACCGGCCACACUGGGACUGAGACACGGCCCAGACUCCUACGGGAGGCAGCAGUGGGGAAUAUUGCACAAUGGGCGCAAGCCUGAUGCAGCAACGCCGCGUGAGGGACGACGGCCUUCGGGUUGUAAACCUCUUUUAGCAGGGAAGAAGCGCAAGUGACGGUACCUGCAGAAAAAGCACCGGCUAACUACGUGCCAGCAGCCGCGGUAAUACGUAGGGUGCAAGCGUUGUCCGGAAUUAUUGGGCGUAAAGAGCUCGUAGGCGGUUUGUCGCGUCUGCUGUGAAAACGCGAGGCUCA
rnacentral:rRNA from 3 species